rnacentral:rRNA from 1 species
UUUGCGUCGAAGGUAUACCGGUAAGGAGUGCUGGAGCGAAUAGAAGUGAGCAUGCAGGCAUGAGUAGCGAUAAUUAAUGUGAGAAUCAUUAACGCCGUAAACCCAAGGUUUCCUACGCGAUGCUCGUCAUCGUAGGGUUAGUCGGGUCCUAAGUCGAGUCCGAAAGGGGUAGACGAUGGCAAAUUGGUUAAUAUUCCAAUACCAACAUUAGUGUGCGAUGGAAGGACGCUUAGGGCUAAGGGGGCUAGCGGAUGGAAGUGCUAGUCUAAGGUCGUAGGAGGUUAUACAGGCAAAUCCGUAUAACAAUACUCCGAGAACUGAAAGGCUUUUUGAAGUCUUCGGAUGGAUAGAAGAACCCCUGAUGCCGUCGAGCCAAGAAAAGUUUCUAAGUUUAGCUAAUGUUGCCCGUACCGUAAACCGACACAGGUGGGUGGGAUGAGUAUUCUAAGGCGCGUGGAAGAACUCUCUUUAAGGAACUCUGCAAAAUAGCACCGUAUCUUCGGUAUAAGGUGUGGUUAGCUUUGUAUUAGGAUUUACUCCGAAAGCGAAGAAACUUACAACAAAGAGUCCCUCCCGACUGUUUACCAAAAACACAGCACUCUGCUAACUCGUAAGAGGAUGUAUAGGGUGUGACGCCUGCCCGGUGCUCGAAGGUUAAUUGAUGGGGUUAGCAUUAGCGAAGCUCUUGAUCGAAGCCCGAGUAAACGGCGGCCGUAACUAUAACGGUCCUAAGGUAGCGAAAUUCCUUGUCGGUUAAAUACCGACCUGCAUGAAUGGCGUAACGAGAUGGGAGCUGUCUCAAAGAGGGAUCCAGUGAAAUUGUAGUGGAGGUGAAAAUUCCUCCUACCCGCGGCAAGACGGAGAGACCCCGUGGACCUUUACUACAGCUUGACACUGCUAUUUGGAUAAGAAUGUGCAGGAUAGGUGGGAGGCUUUGAGUAUAUGACGCCAGUUGUAUAUGAGCCAUUGUUGAGAUACCACUCUUUCUUAUUUGGGUAGCUAACCAGCUUGAGUUAUCCUCAAGUGGGACAAUGUCUGGUGGGUAGUUUGACUGGGGCGGUCGCCUCCCAAAUAAUAACGGAGGCUUACAAAGGUUGGCUCAGAACGGUUGGAAAUCGUUCGUAGAGUAUAAAGGUAUAAGCCAGCUUAACUGCAAGACAUACAAGUCAAGCAGAGACGAAAGUCGGUCUUAGUGAUCCGGUGGUUCUGUGUGGAAGGGCCAUCGCUCAAAGGAUAAAAGGUACCCCGGGGAUAACAGGCUGAUCUCCCCCAAGAGCUCACAUCGACGGGGAGGUUUGGCACCUCGAUGUCGGCUCAUCGCAUCCUGGGGCCGGAGCAGGUCCCAAGGGUAUGGCUGUUCGCCAUUUAAAGCGGUACGCGAGCUGGGUUCAGAACGUCGUGAGACAGUUCGGUCCCUAUCUGCCGUGGGCGUAAGAAGAUUGAAGAGAUUUGACCCUAGUACGAGAGGACCGGGUUGAACAAACCACUGGUGUAGCUGUUGUUCUGCCAAGAGCAUCGCAGCGUAGCUAAGUUUGGAAAGGAUAAACGCUGAAAGCAUCUAAGCGUGAAGCCAACUCUAAGAUGAAUCUUCUCUAAGCUCUCUAGAAGACUACUAGUUUGAUAGGCUGGGUGUGUAAUGGAUGAAAGUCCUUUAGCUGACCAGUACUAAUAGAGCGUUUGGCUUAUCUUUAAUAAAGCAU